CUGCUCCUUAUAUGGGCCCUUUGUUGGUACAGAGGGUCCUCUGCCUCAAGACGAGAUAUAUAAUACUCGGAUUGGAAGAGAAGAGAAGAGAAGAGGAGGGAGAAUGUUUCUUUUUGAAUCGAGAAAUAAAAGGAAUGUGCAAUUCUGUCAUCCGUGGGAUGGGAGCUUGCCAUAUGAUGCCCUUAUAUGAUGCUCUCAGGAAUCCUCUCCGUCCUUCAAGGCAAGGCUGCCUGUCCCACCAGUAUGACCUCUCUCUCUCUCUCUCUCUCUCUCUCUCUUUCUCGACACAUACGGAGUACAUGAAUGGUAAGCGGUGACUUCAUAUGGUAUGCUUUUUGCGGUGUUCUCUUAUUCUUUUCGUAGCUUCGGUCCUGAGAGAUGAUGAGGGGAUGGCCAGUAGAUUCCACAAAGGUUUUGACUUGGAAUUAUGACCGCAGUAAGAUCUCCGAGCGUCAAAUUCGCGGACCAUUUCCAUACGGCACGACUGACCCGAAGUCGUAUUUUGUCUUUCGGAACUUUUAGCUUCGACAGCAAAAUAGCAUGGCAUAUGAAUGGUGCAAGUCAAUGCAUUAAUCGACGAACUUAUUCCUACUAAUUCUACCAACUUAAGCCUUACAAAUAGUGGAGGAAGAUUAAAACCUAUCUAUCUAUCUAUCUAUCAUCUUCCUUCCACAUGUAGAUGCUACAGUACCCCCGGAUUUCCAGUGGCCAUUAUUUUACUAGGGAAACAAGACAAAGAAGAAGCUAAUCCCAGGGUUGACCUGCUCAAUGCAAAUGAUUGGAAACCCGAGGAAAAAAAGGUCGAGAGGGGAGCGGCAAUGGGGUCGAUACUCGAGGACGGAAGCUGACAAGAUGCAGCAGCAUGUGGGUGUCGGAUUCCCCCACCAUCACUAUAUUUCUUCCCCAUGUUCUGUUCCUGCGGGACAACAACCGUAGCUCUACUCGUUUUUGGCUUGCUUGCGACACCAGAAUCUGGGGGUGUCUUGUUCA